GAUCUCUUGGCUCUCGCAUCGAUGAAGAACGCAGCGAAUUGCGAUAUGUAAUGUGAAUUGCAGAUUUUCCGUGAAUCAUCGAAUUUUUGAACGCACCUUGCGCUCCUUGGUAUUCCGAGGAGUAUGCCUGUUUGAGUGUCAU
rnacentral:rRNA from 1 species